GAAACACUUUUCCAACCAUUAAAGUUUCUAAUUAUGGGGCUAAAUAGUGACUUGCUAAAAAUGGAUAACCAAAUACAAAGGGUGUAUAAUCAAAGCAGGAGGCUAUGCUAGAAGAAGAGUAAAGUCGUAAUUAAAGAAAAUGUAAACGACUUGAUAUGUUAGAACUUUUCGUUGAAUGCACAAUUCCAUAUAUUCAGAGUACUAACG
rnacentral:lncRNA from 1 species